GCCCUUUCUCCUCGUGCGGCAGGUGUGGUUUGGUGUUAUGGUGGCUCUCGGUAGAGCUGCGGAGAGGGCCCCCAUCCCCCGGGCAGCGGUGGUGCACGCCGUGCCUCCUCGUCCCCCAAGGGCUAUAGGCCCGACCGCUCGAGGUGGCAGUUGAGGGAGAUGAAGGAGAGCUGGCCUCGCUCCUCCCGUCCCCGCAGGCCCUUAUGGAGACGGAUGGCGGUACCGCGCCCGGCCGGGAGUGCGCAGGCAGCGCUGGAACGGCCCUGCGGUCCGUCCUGAGAUCGACUGCUGAGGAGUACUGCUUUAAUGCUUGUUUGGUGUCUAUUCGCCCAGCGGAACGAUGCCCUGAAGCAAAGAAAGCUGGGAUUUGCAGAUGAUGUGAUACAAUAAGGACUGGGAGCAGGCAUCUGUCUGGAGAUGGCCAUAAUGUGAAGCCCUUCAGAAGGCCUUGGGACAGAAGUGAGACUGCAAGGGCAAGAGAUUGUUCUGGGUGUUGAUGCUGAAAGCACAUUUGUUUGAGGAAGAAGGAACCCAAUGGAACAUGAGUGAGCUUGGCAACUGACCUUUGUAAACGUCACCUGUUUUUCUGUGCGUAGACUUGUAAGAUAAGAGGAUGUUUACACUGUUCUGAUAUACAUUAAAGUUCUAAAAAACCCUUCAG